GACGAACGCUGGCGGCGUGCUUAACACAUGCAAGUCGAACGGAAAGGCCCCUUUGGGGGUCCUCGAGUGGCGAACGGGUGAGUAACACGUGAGUAACCUGCCCUUGACUUCGGGAUAACUUCAGGAAACUGGGGCUAAUACCGGAUAGGAAUCCUUGCUGCAUGGUGGGGGUUGGAAAGCUUCGGCGGGUUUGGAUGGACUCGCGGCUUAUCAGCUUGUUGGUGGGGUAGUGGCUUACCAAGGCUUUGGCGGGUAGCCGGCCUGAGGGGGCGACCGGCCACAUUGGGACUGAGAUACGGCCCAGACUCCUACGGGAGGCAGCAGUGGGGAAUAUUGCACAAUGGGCGGAAGCCUGAUGCAGCAACGCCGCGUGCGGGAGGACGGCCUUCGGGUUGUAAACCGCUUUCAGCAGGGGCGAAGCUUGUGGUGACGGUACCUGCAGAAGAAGCACCGGCUAACUACGUG
rnacentral:rRNA from 1 species